CUCCUAAUGUGAAUAAGUAAGUCCUAAAUACAGGCCAAUACCCAGAUAGCAAACAGUCAUUGAAACUUUGUUACAUCAACAUUCCGUUGUCAACAUUAAAGCAUUGAAUCAACAUGAACUCUGAUGUUGAUUCUAGAGGAGCAAGCCCUCAACUGCCAGCAAUGCGUCAUCGCCAUCCACCUCGUCACCUGCAAACUUCCAGCCAUCCAUCUCAUCACAGACAGCCUUCCUCCAGCCAUCCAUCUCAUCACAGGCAGCCUUCCUCCAGCCAUCCAUCUCAUCACAGGCAGCCUUCCUCCAGCCAUCCACCUCAUCACAGGCAGCGUUCCUCCAGCCAUCCAUCUCAUCACAGGCAGCCUUCCUCCAGCCAUCCAUCUCA
ensembl:lncRNA